rnacentral:rRNA from 1 species
UACGUAGGGAGCUAGCGUUGUUCGGAAUUACUGGGCGUAAAGGGCGCGUAGGCGGCUUGGCAAGUUGGAUGUGAAAGCCCAGGGCUCAACCCUGGAAUUGCAUUCAAGACUGCCUUGCUUGAAUUCGGUAGAGGUUGGUGGAAUUCCCAGUGUAGAGGUGAAAUUCGUAGAGAUUGGGAAGAACACCCGUGGCGAAGGCGGCCAACUGGACCGACAUUGACGCUGAGGCGCGAAAGCGUGGGGAUCAAACAGG